GAUGAACGCUGGCGGUCUGCUUAACACAUGCAAGUCGAACGGAAUCCCUCGGGAUUUAGUGGCGGACGGGUGAGUAACGCGUGGGAACCUGCCCAGUGGUGGGGGAUAACUGCGGGAAACUGCAGCUAAUACCGCAUGAGCCCGAGAGGGGAAAGAUUUAUCGCCAUUGGAGGGGCCCGCGUUCGAUUAGGUAGUUGGUGAGGUAAUGGCUCACCAAGCCGACGAUCGAUAGCUGGUCUGAGAGGAUGAUCAGCCACACUGGGACUGAGAUACGGCCCAGACUCCUACGGGAGGCAGCAGUGGGGAAUAUUGGACAAUGGGGGCAACCCUGAUCCAGCAAUGCCGCGUGAGUGAUGAAGGCCUUCGGGUUGCAAAGCUCUUUUGCCAGGGGCGAUGAUGACGGUACCUGGAGAAUAAGCCCCGGCUAACUUCGUGCCAGCAGCCGCGGUAAAAC
rnacentral:rRNA from 1 species